rnacentral:rRNA from 1 species
UACAGAGGGGGCAAGCGUUAUUCGGAAUUAUUGGGCGUAAAGGGCGCGUAGGCGGCUUGGCAAGUGGAUGGUGAAAUCCCUCGGCUUAACCGAGGAACUGCCGUCCAAACUGCUUUGCUUGAGACCGGGAGAGGUGAGUGGAAUUCCCAGUGUAGCGGUGAAAUGCGUAGAUAUUGGGAGGAACACCAGUGGCGAAGGCGGCUCACUGGACCGGUACUGACGCUGAGACGCGAAAGCGUGGGGAGCAAACAGG